rnacentral:lncRNA from 1 species
GUCUGAGGUAAGACAUCCAAGAAGGAACUGGCCCAUGGAGAAAAGGCAAACACUUUUUGGCCUUUGCUUCCUGAUUCAUAAAUACUCCCCAGGUGAGUAUUACUGAUGUGCUGGAUUAUGAUGCCACCAGAGAGAAAACAUCUACAGAAGAGAGAUGAGGAAACUGAGGCAAGCAGAGAUACAUGGCUUAUCUAGGUCACCUAGAUAGUAAGUGCCAGAGGCCAGAGUUGAACUCAGGAAGAUGAAUCUAGGCCUGGUGCAGGAUCCACUGAGCUAUCUAGCUGCCAGUGCAUUGUAGUAGGUGACUAAUAAAUGCUUGUAUCCUACUUUCUUGUGGCUG